UGGAUAUUCGUGAGUUCCUCUCCGGCGCGAUGUUAAAUGUAUCUAUAUUACAAGUCUUUAUGAGGUGAUCUAAUAAAAAUAUAUACUUUUAUAUUUUGUUGGUUGUUGACGAUUUUCAAUCUAAAUUAAUUAAAUCUUCUUUUAGUGCACUUUACGAAGAUUUACUUGGAUGUGAUUCUGUUUCAAAAGUUGGGUGGUUAUGCCCAUAAGAGAUUCGUGGUGAAAAUUGCUUGAAGAACCAUGCUGAAGCGAAUGAGUACGUUGAAAGGAGUAUUACCGCAUGUGUUCGAUCUAAAGAUAACUAUAUUAUUGCCCCAUACCUUGAAGAGUAUGUUUUAGUACCUAGUUGAUAAUGUCUUUUCGUAAUACUAUUUUGGAUAACUAUUGUUGGUAUACAUAUGAUUGUCGAACUUAAUUUUUUAUUGUAGUCACCAUUGGAUGCUCUUGGUAAUAUCUUCUUCAACUCACACAAUAUACCAUUUUGAUUCUAUGCGUCAAGAACCACCCCAAGGCUUACUAAUCAAAAGCAUAUUGAAUAGUGUGAUGAAAAGAUUACGUGGAUGUGGUCCAAGAAGAGCCACACUUCCUCAAUGGAAAUCAGUGAAGGUUUACAACACACCAAGGGAGGAGUCAUUUACUGUUGAGGAAAUCAAUGAAGUUCGAGACAAGUUUGCUUCCUUCAUUACCAAUUGUUGUCUAUGAAUUUAAUUUCUAAAUACGUUGUAAACGCGUACUUUAAAUCUAUGGUAAUGUUUUGUAACUCAAUUCUACACUUUAUAUAUAUAUAAUAAUAGUACGUAUUUUAAUUUUGAAU